AUUAAGUUCAUUUGUGGGUUUUCGUGUCCAACGUUUGACCGUCCGUCUUAUUUUAAAGAAAUUUAUGAUUAAUAUUUUUAUUGUUAUUAGAUGAUAAAACAUGAAUAAUACUUUAUGAGUAACUUUUUUAAAAUUUUUUUCAUAAAUUUUUUAAAUAAAACGGACAGUCAAAUGUUGGACACAGAAACCCACAAAUGAACUUAAU
rfam:Oryza punctata chromosome 3, whole genome shotgun sequence.